AUGCAGUCGAGCGCAGGAAGCAAGUUGAUCCCCUUCGGGGGUGACGCUUGUGGAAUGAGCGGCGGACGGGUGAGUAACACGUGGGCAACCUGCCUGUAAGACUGGGAUAACCCCGGGAAACCGGGGCUAAUACCGGAUAAUACUUUCUUUUGCAUAAAGGAAAGUUGAAAGGCGGCUUCGGCUGUCACUUACAGAUGGGCCCGCGGCGCAUUAGCUAGUUGGUGAGGUAACGGCUCACCAAGGCGACGAUGCGUAGCCGACCUGAGAGGGUGAUCGGCCACACUGGGACUGAGACACGGCCCAGACUCCUACGGGAGGCAGCAGUAGGGAAUCUUCCGCAAUGGACGAAAGUCUGACGGAGCAACGCCGCGUGAGUGAUGAAGGUUUUCGGAUCGUAAAACUCUGUUGUUAGGGAAGAACAAGUACGAUAGUAACUGAUCGUACCUUGACGGUACCUAACCAGAAAGCCACGGCUAACUACGUGCCAGCAGCCGCGGUAAUACGUAGGUGGCAAGCGUUGUCCGGAAUUAUUGGGCGUAAAGCGCUCGCAGGCGGUCCUUUAAGUCUGAUGUGAAAUCUCGCGGCUCAACCGCGAACGGUCAUUGGAAACUGGAGGACUUGAGUACAGAAGAGGAGAGUGGAAUUCCACGUGUAGCGGUGAAAUGCGUAGAGAUGUGGAGGAACACCAGUGGCGAAGGCGACUCUCUGGUCUGUAACUGACGCUGAGGAGCGAAAGCGUGGGGAGCGAACAGGAUUAGAUACCCUGGUAGUCCACGCCGUAAACGAUGAGUGCUAGGUGUUAGGGGGUUUCCGCCCCUUAGUGCUGAAGUUAACGCAUUAAGCACUCCGCCUGGGGAGUACGGCCGCAAGGCUGAAACUCAAAAGAAUUGACGGGGGGCCCGCACAAGCGGGGGAGCAUGUGGGUUUAAUUCGAAGCAACGCCGAAGAACCUUACCAGGUCUUGACAUCCUCUGGCCAUUCCUAGAAGAUAGGAAGUUUCCUUUCGGGGACAAAAUGGACAGGGGGGGGCAUGGGUUGUCCUCCACCUCCGGUCCUGGAAAUGUUGGGGUUAAAUCCCCGCAACCAAGCGCAACCCCUUGAACCUAAGUUGCCAGCAUUUAAGUUGGGGCACUCUAAAGGGGGACUGGCCGGUGACCAAACCGGAAGGAAAGGUGGGGGAUGAACGUCCAAAUCAUCCAUGCCCCUUAUGACCUGGGCUACACACGUGGUUUAAAUGGAGUUGGGACCAAGGGGAGAGCCCAAACCCCCCAGGGGUCGAGGGUAAUUCCCUUAAAAAACAUUUUUUCCUUUUGGGAAUUCGAG
rnacentral:rRNA from 1 species